rnacentral:rRNA from 1 species
UAGGGGGACUAGGUUGGGGGCAUUUCGUAUUUCAAUUGUCAGAGGUGAAAUUCUUGGAUUUAUUGAAGACUAACUACUGCGAAAGCAUUUGCCAAGGAUGUUUUCAUUAAUCAAGAACGAAAGUUAGGGGAUCGAAGACGAUCAGAUACCGUCGUAGUCUUAACCAUAAACUAUGCCGACUAGGGAUCGGAUGAUGUUAAUUUUUAAUUGACUCA